rnacentral:tRNA from 1 species
AGUUUUAUAGUUUAAUAAAAUAUUAAAUUGCAAAUUUAAAGAUAGGAUAUAUUCCUUAAAACUU